rnacentral:lncRNA from 1 species
CAUCUGACACCUGGCAGUUCUUGGGAAAUACCUGCACACGAAUGGAGGCAAGGCCUCUCUCCAGAGGAGGACGCUGAAGAGGUGAAAAGUGAGCCUCCUGCUCUCCCUUUGAGGCAAUUUGGCAUAGCCUGGGUUCUCAGAUCAGACGGAAGUGGGUUCAGUUCUUGGCUCGGAGCGACCUUAGACCGCUGGUUGAAAUCCUUCUGGGCCUGUUCCUGCCUCUGGACAGUGGGAAUGUACUGAGACUACCUCUCAGGAUUAUUCCUGGACAGACAGGAAGACCCGAGAGAAGAAGCUGUUAUGGAACAUGUCCAAGCCGAGGGGACCUUACUUCAUGCAGUUUCCUGCGCCUGAGCAGAGAAACUGCUGCGCCUGGAGGGGCCUCGCAGAGCGACAGAGGGACAACUCAGCUAUGACAUUUGCGAACAACAAAAUGGAGCAAGGAGAGAGUGUGAAGAGAAGAGACUAGCUGAGGGCAAAAAUCAUAACCCAAACUCAAACUAUCAACACGGAUUGCGUCCUGCCCUGCCCCUCCUCCACACAAAUGACACCUUGGUGAUCGAUAAGCUCAGCAGAAUUUAGGGG